rnacentral:rRNA from 1 species
GAUGAACGCUGGCGGCGUGCCUAAUACAUGCAAGUCGAGCGAACAGACGAGGAGCUUGCUCCUCUGACGUUAGCGGCGGACGGGUGAGUAACACGUGGAUAACCUACCUAUAAGACUGGGAUAACUUCGGGAAACCGGAGCUAAUACCGGAUAAUAUAUUGAACCGCAUGGUUCAAUAGUGAAAGACGGUUUUGCUGUCACUUAUAGAUGGAUCCGCGCCGCAUUAGCUAGUUGGUAAGGUAACGGCUUACCAAGGCAACGAUGCGUAGCCGACCUGAGAGGGUGAUCGGCCACACUGGAACUGAGACACGGUCCAGACUCCUACGGGAGGCAGCAGUAGGGAAUCUUCCGCAAUGGGCGAAAGCCUGACGGGGCAACGCCGCGUGAGUGAUGAAGGUCUUCGGAUCGUAAAACUCUGUUAUUAGGGAAGAACAAAUGUGUAAGUAACUAUGCACGUCAUGACGGUACCUAAUCAGAAAGCCACGGCUAACUACGUG